rnacentral:rRNA from 1 species
UGGGGAAUUUUGGACAAUGGGGGAAACCCUGAUCCAGCCAUGCCGCGUGUGUGAAGAAGGCCUUCGGGUUGUAAAGCACUUUCGGACGGAACGAAAUCGCACGGGUGAAUAUCCCGUGUGGAUGACGGUACCGUAAGAAGAAGCACCGGCUAACUACGUGCCAGCAGCCGCGGUAAUACGUAGGGUGCGAGCGUUAAUCGGAAUUACUGGGCGUAAAGUGUGCGCAGGCGGCUUCGCAAGUCGAGUGUGAAAUCCCCGGGCUUAACUUGGGAACGGCGCUCGAAACUACGGAGCUAGAGUAUGGCAGAGGGAGGUGGAAUUCCACGUGUAGCGGUGAAAUGCGUAGAGAUGUGGAGGAACACCAAUGGCGAAGGCAGCCUCCUGGGCCAAUACUGACGCUCAUGCACGAAAGCGUGGGGAGCAAACAGGAUUAGAUACCUAGUCCCUGAGCGGGCUGGCAAGGCGCAU